rnacentral:lncRNA from 1 species
GUGUUAUUCAGGGAAAUAAUAGAUAAUCUAGAAUAAAAGAAUUUAAGACUAAGUGUAUCUAGUUUAACCUUACACCUAGAUUCAUGCCAGACGAAAUUGUUACUAGAUGGAAUUAUACAUAUAUAUUUUUAAAAUGUUGCUAUAAAUAUAGAUUUUCAAUAACUGAAGUUGCUAAUGCACAUUGUACUGAUCCUAAGCGUAUGUUAACAAGUGAUACUU